rnacentral:snRNA from 1 species
AUUGCUUCCCUGUCUUUUAGCUAAGACCAAGUAUAGUAACUAUUGUGAUCAAUUUAAUAUCUGCUACUUCCUCUAUCUGAAGACAGUGUGUUAAGUGGAUUUUUGGAGCAGAGAAAUAGAAUGGGAGUUUGCUCCAUCCACUCCAUUCAUCAGCCUGGUAUUGCAGUACCUCUAAGAAUGGUGCAUUCCAC